rnacentral:misc_RNA from 1 species
GAUGAAGAACGUAGCGAAAUGCGAUAAGUAAUGUGAAUUGCAGAAUUCAGUGAAUCAUCGAAUCUUUGAACGCACAUUGCGCCCCCUGGUAUUCCGGGGGGCAUGCCUGUCCGAGCGUCAUUACAACCCUCAAGCUCAGCUUGGUGUUGGGCCCCGCCGCCCCGGCGGGCCCUAAAGUCAGUGGCGGUGCCGUCCGGCUCCGAGCGUAGUAAUUCUUCUCGCUCUGGAGGUCCGGUCGUGUGCUCGCCAGCAACCCCCAAUUUUUUUCAGGUUGACCUCGGAUCAGGUAGUGAUACCCGCUGAACUUAAGCAUAUCAAUAAGCGGAGGA